rnacentral:rRNA from 1 species
GUGCACCAGGCGCGAAUCUUUCGCAAUGGGGGAAACCCUGACGAAGCGACGCCGCGUGCAGGAUGAAGGCCUUCGGGUUGUAACUGCUGUCGGCUGGGAAAAAAUACGAUGCGUGAAUAACGCAGCGUUUUGAUGGUACCAGCAAAGGGAAGCCACGGCUAACUCUGUGCCAGCAGCCGCGGUAAUACAGAGGUGGCAAGCGUUGUUCGGAUUUACUGGGCGUAAAGGGUUCGUAGGCGGUUCGGAAAGUCAAAUGUGAAAUCCCACAGCUCAACUGUGGAACUGCAUUUGAAACUCCCGGGCUAGAGUAUGAGAGGGGUAAAAGGAAUUCCC